UGCUCAGGGGCGGGAAUCGAACCCACAACCUUCUGCUUACCGGGCAGGUGCCAUGUCCACUAGGCUACCCUGGAC